GAUGAACGCUGGCGGCGUGCCUAAUACAUGCAAGUCGAGCGAAUGGAUUAAGAGCUUGCUCUUAUGAAGUUAGCGGCGGACGGGUGAGUAACACGUGGGUAACCUGCCCAUAAGACUGGGAUAACUCCGGGAAACCGGGGCUAAUACCGGAUAACAUUUUGAACCGCAUGGUUCGAAAUUGAAAGGCGGCUUCGGCUGUCACUUAUGGACGGACCCGCGUCGCAUUAGCUAGUUGGUGAGGUAACGGCUCACCAAGGCAACGAUGCGUAGCCGACCUGAGAGGGUGAUCGGCCACACUGGGACUGAGACACGGCCCAGACUCCUACGGGAGGCAGCAGUAGGGAAUCUUCCGCAAUGGACGAAAGUCUGACGGAGCAACGCCGCGUGAGUGAUGAAGGCUUUCGGGACGUAAAACUCUGUUGUUAGGGAAGAACAAGUGCUAGUUGAAUAAGCUGGCACCUUGACGGUACCUAACCAGAAAGCCACGGCUAACUACGUGCCAGCCGCCGCGGUAA
rnacentral:rRNA from 1 species